GCUCCUACCGAUGGAACAAAAAGGUGAAUUUGACAGACUUGAGCUUUGGCUUGGGGAAAUUAACUGAACCUUUUUGUUUGUAGGAAAGAGAAGUCGUAACAAGGUCU
rnacentral:rRNA from 1 species